GAUGAACGCUGGCGGCGUGCCUAAUACAUGCAAGUCGAGCGAACGGACGAGAAGCUUGCUUCUCUGAUGUUAGCGGCGGACGGGUGAGUAACACGUGGAUAACCUACCUAUAAGACUGGGAUAACUUCGGGAAACCGGAGCUAAUACCGGAUGAUAUUUUGAACCGCAUGGUUCAAAAGUGAAAGACGGUCUUGCUGGCACUUAUAGAUGGAUCCGCGCUGCAUUAGCUAGUUGGCAAGGUAACGGCUUACCAAGGCAACGAUGCAUAGCCGACCUGAGAGGGUGAUCGGCCACACUGGAACUGAGACACGGUCCAGACUCCUACGGGAGGCAGCAGUAGGGAAUCUUCCGCAAUGGGCGAAAGCCUGACGGAGCAACGCCGCGUGAGUGAUGAAGGUCUUCGGAUCGUAAAACUCUGUUAUUAGGGAAGAACAUAUGUGUAAGUAACUGUGCACAUCUUGACGGUACCUAAUCAGAAAGCCACGGCUAACUACGUG
rnacentral:rRNA from 1 species